AAACAUCUCACGUUUCCAUCUAUGUUCCUCAACCAUAAUCGGCCAUGGAUGAUGGUGUUUCAUACUGAAUCCAUAAACCACUCUCCUCAAAUCCACCUUAGGUCUCUCGAAUCUGGAAUCCAAAAUCGGAAUUUGUAGAGACCCAAGUUCUAGGUUAUUGCACAUGGAUCUCUGCUCUACCUUUCUUGCGUUUUGGCCUGGAUUCGUCCCUUAAUAACGAUGUUUGUGGUUUUUGGAAACAAAAUCAAAGGUUCAAGUCUCGGGUUCGAUUCUUUCUAAAUGGGUAAAUUCUCUUUCAUCCCUUGUGAUUUUCUUUCAACAUCUUCAUCUUCCUCUUUGUCCCUUCUCUUGAGAGGGUCAAAAUUCAUGUGGGUCUCUAGGGCAGAACUUGUUUUUUUCAUAUUCCUAUGUUAAUUGAACUAGUUAGUUUCUUAAUCCACUAUGUUUUCUUGUUAUUUGUGUUUGUUUUAGUGAUUGUAUUGAUAAACUUUAAUGUUUCGGUAUCAGUUUAGUGGCCUAGUCACUAAGUUUAUGUCCGUAAUUAAUUUGCUGUUAUAAAUUUAGAUUGGUUAAUUAAUUAAUUUUGCCUUUGCUUCGGUUUUUAUGUGAGAAAUAACUUCAGGCCUCUUCAUUUGGGAAAAUUGGUUCUAGCCCUAAUUUGGGUCCAUAUGGGUUGCAAUUGGUUUGCAAGAAGCAUCAAGCCCUGUUUUGAGAUUCAAUUUGGGGGUCUGUGAACCAACUAGCUUGACCAGUUGGCCCAGGGGGCGUUAAGGGGUAAUAAACUAAGGUUUGAAGGGUAGUAUAGGCAACACACUUAGGGAAUCUUAGUGUAAAUGCCUAGGAAGCUUCUAGUAGGGAGGUUCUUUUUCAAUUUUCGGUUUUUGGUAGUAGAACUUGAGUAACAAGUCUGAAUUUUAGCGUGUCCUAAGCUAAAACAAGAAAUUAAAAAAGGACCUAAGGGGUAAGCUAAAAUUAGCUGGGCUCCCCCAAUUGCUUGCCUAUUAAGUAAUGUUGAUCUUGUCUUGCAACAGGUCAGAUUUGAAUAGCUAAAAUGUAGAGAAAUAUAGGUAUCUGAAAACAUCAAAAAAAAUUCACUGUUCUAUUAGAGAAAAUCCCUUAAAUUCCUGAGAUAUUCAUUCUGAAAUAAUCCAUUAGCAACAGAAGGUUUAUAAUGAGUUGAAUCUGCUUGGUAUUCAACUGUUUAGGUCAUUUUGGGUUGCUUUUUAACUGAUGUACUUUAUUGAAUACUAUUGUUGGUUCGAAAUUGCUUCAAAGUUGAUCAUUCCUUGUUUAUUCUUGGGCUAGUACCUGUGUUGUGUUGCUUUUGUUGUGCAUUAAGCUGAACCCACUGAUUCUAAGCUAUUCUUUAUCUCUAUCCUUUUCCAGGUAUUCAUCUCACCUUCAAUGUAUGAAAAAUGGAUGAAAGUGAAGAUUAGUUCCUUUAAAUAAAGAUUUAUCCCAUAGUAGUUGUUAUUCAAUGUUUUUGCACCUUUACAGUUGUUUAGAUUAGUUUGAUCUUCUUAUGCUUCUUUAUACUUAUUCUGAAUAUGAACUACUAUGGUGGUAUUAAUUAGUUGUUCAAGCAUUGCUUGGAAGUUGUAUAUGUCCAUAAGAUUGGAACACUAGUCUAUCUGACAAUCAGUGCAUAGGCCAGUUUCUAGAUACAUAUUAUUGAAAGGAGUAUGUCUAAAGUUAUGUCGUCCAUGUGAUCAUGUAAAUAAG
rnacentral:lncRNA from 1 species